rnacentral:rRNA from 1 species
AUUGAACGCUGGCGGCAGGCCUAACACAUGCAAGUCGAGCGGAUGAAGGGAGCUUGCUCCUGGAUUCAGCGGCGGACGGGUGAGUAAUGCCUAGGAAUCUGCCUGGUAGUGGGGGAUAACGUCCGGAAACGGGCGCUAAUACCGCAUACGUCCUGAGGGAGAAAGUGGGGGAUCUUCGGACCUCACGCUAUCAGAUGAGCCUAGGUCGGAUUAGCUAGUUGGUGGGGUAAAGGCCUACCAAGGCGACGAUCCGUAACUGGUCUGAGAGGAUGAUCAGUCACACUGGAACUGAGACACGGUCCAGAAUCCUACGGGAGGCAGCAGUGGGGAAUAUUGGACAAUGGGCGAAAGCCUGAACCAGCCAUGCCGCGUGUGUGAAGAAGGUCUUCGGAUUGUAAAGCACUUUAAGUUGGGAGGAAGGGCAGUAAGUUAAUACCUUGCUGUUUUGACGUUACCAACAGAAUAAGCACCGGCUAACUUCGUG